AGUACACGAGCAGGAGACACAAUGCCAGAUAAAAAGAAGGAUAAGGGAGAAUGCAAGGGGAAGCAUGACAAAAAGGAGAAGUCAAGUCACAAAGGCGGCAAAGGAAAGAAGAAGGACAAGAAGGACAAGGAUGGAAAGUGUGAGGGGAAAGGUUCCGGCUCAGGCUCAGACUCCUCAUCUUCAGGCUCCAGCAGUGAUGAGGAAUAAAGCUGAGACCGGACUGCUGUCAGUGUCUUACGACCCUGCCUAUUAACAAAAUGAGUCUGAAGUAACUUUCCCUCCUGUCCUUUCAUUGAUGUCAAAGAAACAUGCUGGUCUUGUGUAAACAAGCCUGCUGAUUCCUAGAAGUAAAUGUUCUGCCACCGAAAUGCAAGAGUUCCACUGUCAAAAUAAAGUGCAUUUUCUU